UACAGAGGGUGCAAGCGUUAAUCGGAAUUACUGGGCGUAAAGCGCAUGUAGGUGGGACCAUAAGUUUGAUGUGAAAGCCCUGGGCUUAACCUGGGAAUGGCGUUGAAGACUGUGGUUCUAGAGUUUGACAGAGGGUCGUGGAAUUUCCGGUGUAGCGGUGAAAUGCGUAGAGAUCGGAAAGAACACCAGUGGCGAAGGCGGCGACCUGGGUCUAAACUGACACUGAGGUGCGAAAGCGUGGGGAGCAAACAGG
rnacentral:rRNA from 1 species